ensembl:lncRNA
CCAAAUUCAGGGACACAGAGCAGGGCACUGCAACCACAGCAGGGACACUGCAGCCAGCUGAAGAAGCACAGCAGGUGCACUGCAAUGUCUGCAGGAUCAUUGCAUCUACCUUCAUGAUCACUGAAUCCUCCAACACAUCAUAAGGCAUCCACCUUGUGGGACACUGCAGCCACUGAAUUGGCACUGCAUACACGUUCAGGGACACUGCAGUUGGCUCUGCCACCACUGCAGCAACACUGCAUCCUGCUGAAUUGGGACUGCAGGCGCACUGCAAUCACCGCAGCCUCACUGCAUCUACCUUCAUGGGCACUGGAUCCUCUGUCACAGCAUAGUGCAUCCACAUUGUGGGACACUGCAUGCACUGCAUGGACACUGCAUCCACAUUCCAGGAAACUGUAGGGGACACUGCCACCACUGCAUGUUCACCCCAUCCACCUUCAUGUGCAUUGCAUCCUCCGACAAAACAUACUGCUUCCACCUUGUGAGACACUGCAUCCACUGCAUGACCCCUGCAUCCACAUUCCAGGACAAAGCCAGGGGCAGUGAAACCAAUGCAGGGACAUUGCAUCCAAAUUCAUGAGAACUGCGUUAUCCUUCAUAACAUACUGCAACAACCUUGUGUGACACUGCAUCCACUGCUUGAGCACUGGAUCCACAUUCCAGGACAAUGCAGGGGUCACUGCAACCACUGCAGCAACACUGCAUUCUGCUGAAUUGUCACUGCAGGUGCACUGCCAUCACAGCAGGAUCAGUGCAUUCACCUUCAUCGGCACUGCAUACUACAACACACCACAAUGCCUCCACAUUGUGGGAAACUGCAUCCACUGCAUGAGCACUGCAUCCACAUUACAGGACAACACAGGGGGCAUCACCUCCACUGCAGGGACAAUGCAUCCAGCUGAAGUGGCACUGAAGGCAUACUGCAAUCACUUCCUGCUCACUGCAUUCAACUCUUGUGCACUGCAUCCUCUGUCACAACAUACGCCAACCAACAUUUGGUAGUAUGCAUCCAUUGCAUUGGCACUGCAUCCACAUCCAGGGACACAGAACUGGGCACUGCCAUCACUGCAGGGACACUGCAGCCAGCUGAAUUGGCACUACAGGUGCACUGCAAUGACUGCAGGAUCACUGCAUCCUACUCCAUUAUCACUGAAUCCUCCAAUAUAUCAAAAGGCAUCCACCAGGAGGGACACGGCAUUCACUCCAUGAGCACUACAUCCACAGGUAAAGUGCAGGGGACACAGCAACCACUGCAGGAUCACUGCAUCCACCUUUAUUGGCACUGCAUCCUCCGUCAAAACAUACUGCAUGCACAUUGUGGGACACUGCAUCCACUGCCUUGGCACUUCAUCCACGUCUCGGACAAUGCAGUGCACAUUGCAACCACUAUGGGGACACUGCAUACUUCGGAAGUCACACUGCAGGUGCACAGCAUUCAGCACAGGCUCACUGCAUCCAUCUUCGUGGGCACUGCAUCUUCCAUCACAACAUACGACAACCACCUUGUGGAACACUGCAACUACUGCCUGGACACUGCAUCCACAUUCAGGGACACAGUAUGGGACACUGCAACCACUGCAGGAACACUGCAGCAAGCUGAUGUGUCACUUCAUGUGCACUGCAAUGACUGCAGGAUCACUGCAUCCUCCUUCAUGAUCACUCAACCCUCCAUUACAACAUAAGGCAUCCACCUUGUGGGACACUGCAUCCACUGCAUGGGCACUGCAUCCACAUUCGGGGAACGUGAAGGGGCACUGCAACUAGUGCAGGAUCACAGCAUCCAUCUUCAUGGGCACUGCAUCCUCCAUGACAACAUACAUCAUCACUGCAUGUGCACUCAAUUCACAUUCAGGGACACUCCAUCCAGAUGAAUUGACACUGCAGGUGCACUGCAAUGAAUGCAGGAUCACUGCAUCCUCCUUCAUGGGUACUUCAUCCUACUACACAACAUACUGCAUUCACCUAGGGUCACACUGCAGAGGCUGAAUGGGCCCUGCAACCACAUUCAGAGACACUGCAGCAGGCUCUGCAACCACUGCAGCAACACUGCAUUCAGCUGAAGUGGCACUGCUUCAUCCGUCACAACAUACUGCAUGCAAAUUGUGGGACACUGAUCCACUGUAUGGGCACUGCAUCCACGUUCAGGCACACUGCAGUGGGCUCUGCAACCACUGCAGCAACACUGCAUCCAGCUGAAGUGGCACUGCAGGCGCACUGCAAUCACUGCAGGCUCACUGCAUCCACCUUCAUGGGCACUGCAUCCUCCGUCAGAUCAUACUGCAUCUACCUUCAUUGACACGGCAGCCAUUGCAUGGGCACUGCAGCCACGUUCAGUUACAGGUCAACAGGCACUGCAACCACUGCAGGGACUCUGGAUCCAGCUGCAAUGGCACUGCAUGUGCACUGCAAUCACUGCAGGCUCACUGCAUCCACGUUCAUGGGCACUGCAUCCUCCAUCACAACAUACUGCAUCCGACUUGUGGGACACAGCAUGAACUGCAUGGCCACCGCAUCCACAUUUAGGGAAUCUGUAGGGAGCACUGCACCCACUGUAGAUUCAAUGCAUCCACCUUCAUUGGCACUGCAUCCUCUGUUAAAACAUAAGCAUCCACCUUGUGAGAAACUGCGUCCACCGCAUGACCAUUGCUUCCACAUUCCAGGACAAUGAUGGGGGCACUGCAACCACUGCAGAGACACUGCAUCCACCUUCAUGGACACUGCAUCCUCCGUUAAAACGUACAGCAUAAACCUUUAGAUACACUGCAUCCUCUGCAUGGGCACUGCAUUCACCUUCAGGGAAACAGAGGGUGGCACUUCAAACAAUGCAGGAUUACUGCAUCUACUGCAUGAUCACUGCAUCCACUGCAUGAUCACUGCAUCCACAUUCAGGGACACAGCAGGGUGCACUGCAACCACUGCAGGGACACUGCAUACAGAUGAAGCAGCACUGCAGUUGAACUGCAAUGACUGCAGGAUCACUGCAUCCUUCCUUCAUCAUCACUGAAUCCUCCAUCACAACAUACUGCAUGCACCUUGUGGGACACUGCAUCCAAUGCGUGGGCAGUGCAUCCACAUUCUCAGACAAUGCAGUGUGCACUGCAACCAUGGCAGGUACACUACAUACAGCUGAAAUCUCACUGCAGGUGCACUGCAUUCAGCACAGGCUCACUGCAUCCAACUUCAUGGGCACUGCAUCUUUCAUCACAACAUACGACAUCCACCUUGUGGGACACUUCAACUACCGCAUGGGCACUCCAUCCACAUUCAGGGAAACUUCGGGGGCACUGCAACCACUGCAGCAUCACUGCCUCCACAUUCAUUGACCCUGCAUCCUCCAUCACAACACACUGUAUCCAGCUUGUGGGACACUGCAUCCACUGCACGACUACUGCAUCCACAUUCCCGGACAACCCAGUGGGCACUGCAAGCAAUGCAGGAACACUGCAUCCACCGCCAUCAGAACUGCAUCAUCCCUCCUAACAUACUGUAUCCACCUUGUGGGACUCUGCAACCACUGCUUGGGCACUGCAUCCAUGUCUCGGACAAUGCAGUCGGCACUGCAUCCACUAUGGGGACACUGCAUACAGUGGAAGUCACAUUGCAGGCACAAGGCAUUCACCACAGGAUCACUGCAUCCAUCUUCGUGGGCAAUGCAUCUCCCAUCAAAACAUACCACAUCCACCUUGUGGGACACUGCAACUACUGCAUGGGCACUGCAUUCACAUUCAGUGGCACAGUACGGGGCACUGCAACGAGGUGAUGUGGCACUGCAUGUGCACUGCAAUGACUGCAGGAUCACUGCAUCCUCCUUCAUGAUCACUCAAUCCUCCAUUACAACAUAAGGCAUCCACCUUGUGGGACACUGCAUCCACUGCAUGGGCACUGCAUCCACAUUCAUGGAACCUGAAGGUUGCACUGCAACAAGUGCAGGAUCACGACAUACACCUUCUUGGGCACUGCAUCCUCCAUGACAACAUACAUCAUCACUGCAUGAGCACUGAAUCCACAUUCAGAGACACUGCAUCCAGAUGAAUUCACACAGCAGGUGCACUGCAAUGAAUGCAGAAUCACUGCAUCCUCCUUCAUGGGGACUGCAUCCUACUUCACAACAUACUGCAUCCACCUUGGGUCACACUGCAGAGGCUGCAUGCGCCCUGCAUCCACAUUCAAGACACUGCAGUGGGCUCUGCAACCACUGCAGCAACACUGCAUUCAGCUGAACUGGCACUGCAGGUGCACUGCAAUCACUGAAUAUUCAGUGCAUCCACUGCUUGUUCACUGCAUCCACAUUCAGGGACACUGCAGUGUGCACGGAAACUACUGCAGGAUCACUGCAUCCACCUUCAUGGGCACUGCAUCCUCUGUCACAACACACUGCAUCCUAAUUGUGUGGCACUGCCUACACUGCCUGGCAAUGCAUCCACAUUCCCAGACAAUGCAGGCAGCAAUGCAAUCACAGCAGGGACACUGUAUGGAGCUGAAGUGGCACUGCAGGUGCACCGCAAUCACUUAAUUUUCACUGCAUCCACAUUCAGGGACAAUGCAGUGUGCACGGAAACCACUGCAGGAUCACCGCAUCCACCUUCAUGGGCACUGCAUCCUCUGUCACAAUAUAGUGCAUCCAACUUGUGUGACACUGCAUCCACUGCAUGGGCACUGAAUACACAUGCAGGGAACCUGAAGCGGGCACUGCAACAACUGCAGUAUCACCGCAUCCACCUUCAUGUGUGAAGCAUCCUCCAUUACAACAGACUGCAUCUGCCUUGUGGAACACUGCAUCCACUGCAUGGGCACUGCAUCCAGAAUCAGGAAAACAGAAGGGCGCAUGACAACCAGUGCAGGAACACUGCAUGCACCUUCAUGGGAACUGCAUCCUUCAUCACAACAUACUGCAUCUACCUUCAGGGACACUGCAGCCAUUGCGUGGGCACUGCAGAAAUGAUCAGGCACAGGGCAACAGGCACUUCAACCACUGCAGAGACUCUGGAUCCAGCUGAAGAGGCACUGCAGGCACACUGCAAUCACUGCAGGAUCACUGCAUCUGACUUCAUGGGCACUGCAUCCUCCAUCACAACAUACUUCAUCACUGCAUGAGCACUGCAUCCAAAUUCAGGGACAGUGCAAGUUGCACUGCAGCGACUGCAGGGACAAUACAUCCAGUGAAGUGGCGCUGCAUGCGCACUGCACCCACUGCAGGAUCACUGCAUCUGCCUUCAUGGUCACUGAAUCCUCCAUCACAACAUACAUCAUCACUGCAUGAGCACUCAAUCCACAUUCAGGGACACUGCAUCCAGAUGAAUUGACACUGCAGGUGCACUGCAAUGGAUGCAGGAUCACUGCAUCCUCCUUCAUGGGGACUGCAUCCUAAUUCACAACAUACUGCAUCCACCUUGCGUCAACUGCAGAGGCUGCAUGGGCCCUGCGUCCACAUUCAGAGACACUGCAGUGGGCUCUGCAACCACUGCAGCAACACUGCAUUCAGCUGAACUGGCACUGCAGGUGCACUACAAUCACUAUUCAGUGCGUUUACUGCUUGUUCACUGCAUCCACAUUCAGGGACAUGGCAGUUUGCACGGAAACCACUGCAGGAUCACUGCAUCCACCUUCAUGGGCACUGCAUCCUCUGUCACAACAUACUGCAUCCAACAUGUGUGACACUGCAUACACUGCUUGGGCACUGCAUCUGCAUUCCCGGAUAAUGCAGGCAGCACUGCAACCACUGCAGGGACACUGUAUACAGUUGAAGUGGCACUUCAGGCGCACUGCCAUCACUGCAGUCUCUCUGCAUUCACAAUCAUGAGCCCUGCAUCCUCCAUCACAACAUAUUGCAUCCAGCUUGUGCGACACUGCAUCCACUUUAUGGGCACUGCAUCCACAUUCAGUGAACCUGAAGGGGGCACUGCAACAACUGCAGGAUCACCUCAUCCACCUUCAUGGGGAAUGCAUCAUCCAGCAUAACAUACGAAAUCUACCUUCAGUGACACUGCAGCCAUUGUAUGGGCCCUGCAUCCACAUUCAUGGAUCCUGAAGGGGGCACUGCAACCACUGCAGGAUCACUGCAUCCACCUUCAGGGGCACUGCAUCCUCUGUAACAACAUACUUCAUUGAACUUGUGUGACACUGCAUCCACUGCUUGGGCACUGCAUCAGCAUGUCUGGACAAUGCAGGCAGCACUGCAACCACUGCAGGGACACAGUAUACAGUUGAAGUGGCACUGCAGGCGCACUGCAUUCACUGCAGUCUCACUGCAUUCACAGUCGUGGGCACUGCAUCUUCCGUCACAACAUACUGCAUCCACAUUGUGUGACACUGCAUCCACUGCAUGGGCACUGCAUCCACAUUCAGGGAACCUGAAGGGGACACUGCAACAACUGCAGGAUCCCCGCAUCCACCUUCAUGGGCACUGCAUCCUCCACUACAGCAUACUGCAUCUGACUGGUGGGACGCUAAUCCACUGCAUGGGCACUGUAUCCACAAUCAGGGACACAGAAUGGGGCACGACAGCCCGUGCAUUAACACUGCAUGCACCUGCUUGGGCAAUGCAUCAUCCGGCCUAACAUACUGCAUCCACCUUGUGGGGCACUGAAUCCACUGCAAGGGCAUGGCGUUCUCAUUCAGGGACCCUGCAGGGUUCACUUCAACCACUGCAGGAUAACUGGGUCCACCUUCGUGGGCACUGCAUCCUCCAUCACAACAUACUGCAUCUACCUUCAGUGACACUGCAGCCAUUUCAUGGGUACUGCCUCCACAUUCAGGCACAGGGCAACAGGCACUGCAACCACUGCACGGACUCUGGAUCCAGCUGAAGUGUCACUGCAGGUGCACUGCAAUCUCUGCAGGAUCACUGCAUCUGCCUUCACGGGCACUGCAUCCUUCAUCACAACAUACUUCCUCACUGCAUGAGCACUGAAUGCACAUACAUGGAGAGUGCAGGUUGCACUGCAGCGACUGCAGGGACACUGCAUCCAGCUUAAGUGGCACUGCAUGUGCACUGCAGCCACUGCAGGAUCACUUCAUCCACAUUCAUGGGCACUGCAUCCUCAGUCACAACAUACCACAUCCAUCUUUUGGUACACUGCAUCCACUGCAAGGGCACUGCAUUCGUAUUUGGAGAGACAGAAGGCGGCAUUGCAACCACUGCAGGCACACUGCAGCCAGAUGAAGUGGCACUGCAGGUGCACUGCAAUCACUGCAGAAUCUCUGCACCCUCCAUCAUGGGCAAUGCAUCAUCCGUCAUAACAUACUGCAUACAACUUGUGGGGCACUGAAUCCACUGCAAGGGCACGGAAUUCUCAUUCAGGGAUGCUGCAGGGGACACUGCAACCACUGCAGGAUCACUGCAUGCACCUUCAUGGGCACUGCUUCCUCCAAUACAACAUACUGCAUCUAACUUCUGUGAAACUGCAGCCAUUGCAUGUGCACUGCAUCCACGUUUUGGGAAACUGCAGCAGGCACUGCAACCACUGCAGGGACACUGGAUCCACAAGAAGUGGCACAGCAGAUGCACUGCAAUCACUGCAGGAUCACUGCAUCUGCCUUCAUGGGCACUGCAUCCUCCAUGACAACAUACAUCAUCACUGAAUGAGCAGUGAAUCCACAUUCAGCGACACUGCCUCCAGAUGAAUUGACACUGCAGGUGCACUGGAAUGAAUGCAGGAUCACUGCAUCCUCCUUCAUGGGUACUGCAUCCUACUUCACAACAUACUGCAUCCAACUUGGGUCACACUGCAGAGGCUGCAUGGGCCCUGCAUCCACAUUUACAGAAACGGCAGUGGGCUCUGCAACCACGGCAGCAACACUGCAUUCAGCUGAGGUGGCACUGCAGGUGCACUGCAAUCACUGAAUAUUCAGUGCAUCCACUGCUUGUACACUGCAUCCACAUUCAGGGACAUGGCAGUGUGCACAGAAACCACUGCAGGAUCACUGCAUCCACCUUCAUGACCACUGCAUCCUCUGUCACAACAUACUGCAUCCAACAUGUGUGGCACUGCAUACACUGCCUGGGCACUGCAUCCACAUUCCCGGACAAUGCAGGCAGCACUGCAAUCACAGCAGGGACACUGUAUGCAGCUGAAGUGGCACUGCAGUUGCACUGCAAUCACAGAAUGUUCACAGCAUCCAACUAAUGUUCACUGCAUCCACAUUCAGGGACACUACAGUGUGUACGGAAACCACUGCAGGAUAACUGCAUCCACCUUCAUGGUCACUGCAUCCUCUGUAAAAACAUACUUCAUCCAACUUGUGUGACACUGCAUACUCUGCCUGGGCAGUGCAUCCGCAUUCCCAGACAAUGCAGGCAGCACUGCAACUACUGCAGGGGCACUGUAUGCAGUUGAAGUGGCACUGCAGGUGCACCACAAUCACUGAAUGUUCACUACAUCCACUUCAUGUUCACUGCAUCCACUUCCUGUUCA